rnacentral:rRNA from 1 species
CCUACGGGUGGCAGCAGUGAGGAAUAUUGGUCAAUGGUCGGGAGACUGAACCAGCCAAGCCGCGUGAGGGAGGAAGGUACAGAGUAUCGUAAACCUCUUUUGUCAGGGAACAAAGGCGGGGACGUGUCCCCGGAUGAGUGUACCUGAAGAAAAAGCAUCGGCUAACUCCGUGCCAGCAGCCGCGGUAAUACGUAGGGGGCAAGCGUUAUCCGGAUUUACUGGGUGUAAAGGGAGCGUAGACGGUUAUGCAAGUCUGAAGUGAAAGCCCAAGGCUCAACCAUGGGACUGCUUUGGAAACUGUAAAACUGGAGUGCAGGAGAGGUAAGCGGAAUUCCUAGUGUAGCGGUGAAAUGCGUAGAUAUUAGGAGGAACACCAGUGGCGAAGGCGGCUUACUGGACUGUAACUGACGUUGAGGCUCGAAGGCGUGGGGAGCAAACAGGAUUAGAUACCCUAGUAGUC